rnacentral:rRNA from 1 species
AUUGAACGCUGGCGGCAUGCCUUACACAUGCAAGUCGAACGGCAGCGGGCCCUUCGGGGUGCCGGCGAGUGGCGAACGGGUGAGUAAUGCAUCGGAACGUACCCGGGAGAGGGGGAUAACCGGCCGAAAGGCUGGCUAAUACCGCAUGAAAUCGGAAGAGCAAAGCGGGGGACCUUCGGGCCUCGCGCGCUCGGAGCGGCCGAUGUCCGAUUAGGCUAGUUGGUGGGGUAAAGGCCCACCAAGGCGACGAUCGGUAGCGGGUCUGAGAGGAGGAUCCGCCACACUGGGACUGAGACACGGCCCAGACUACUACGGGAGGGAGCAGUGGGGAAUCUUGGACAAUGGGCGCAAGCCUGAUCCAGCAAUGCCGCGUGGGUGACGAAGGCCUUCGGGUUGUAAAGCCCUUUCGGCGGGGAAGAAAUCGGUCAGGCGAAUAGUCUGGCCGGAUGACGGUACCCGCAGAAGAAGCACCGGCUAACUACGUG